UACGUAGGGGGCAAGCGUUAUCCGGAAUUAUUGGGCGUAAAGAGCUCGUAGGCGGUUUGUCGCGUCUGCUGUGAAAACCCGAGGCUCAACCUCGGGCCUGCAGUGGGUACGGGCAGACUAGAGUGCGGUAGGGGAGAGUGGAAUUCCUGGUGUAGCGGUGGAAUGCGCAGAUAUCAGGAGGAACACCGAUGGCGAAGGCAGAUCUCUGGGCCGUAACUGACGCUGAGGAGCGAAAGCGUGGGGAGCGAACAGG
rnacentral:rRNA from 1 species